AUUCGGUUUAAACCAAUGGAGUGUCACUAGGAAUGAAGCUGCGUCAAUAUAUUCCAUUUUCUUAGCUGCUCCGAUGUAACUCUGGAGUGACUCCACUGAAGUGGAGGGCACUCUCUGGGCCCUGACACAGAGUCAUGAAACACUUCACUGAAACAUGCAAGGUACAUAAAAGCACAGGGAUCUGGUCUCUCCCCUUGAUACAGGCACAUGACUCCCACUGAUGCUAAUAGCAGUUAUGGUCAUGUCUGUGUCUGACAGAGCCUGGAUCUAUGGAGAAGUGGAGGGGCCCCAUGGGGGCGGCAGGGAAGGGCAGGACUGUAUCCCUGAGGUAGCUGAGCCCCCUUCUGCGUGAAAGGGGACAGAUCUGUGUGUGGAUCUGGAGACACAAUGCCCCCUCCCAUGCCUCAGGAGAGUUUCUGUCAGAGGUAUUGUGUGUAGCCGGCAUAGUCUGCCAGCUGCUGCUGUUUUCUGUAAUACGCACUGUAUGUUUCUUUUGGUUUCUAGGUUCUUCCUGCAGCGGCUUCAUCUGGGCCCCAUUAGUGGCAUGUGCUGUUAUUUUAAUGCUGUCUCUGGUUGUUGCCAUCCGUCGCUUUCAGCGCCUGCGCAGGAGACUGCGGCUUCACUUCAAGAAACAGUAAGUGCUCUUGGUUGCGUUCUGCAGCCCCGUACGCUGCAAAGAACACAGCUGUGCUUUUCUCAUGCGUGAGCUAGUGCUAACAAUCCCACGAGGUGCUGAGCACCUCCUGUAUGCUGCUGUGUGUCCUCAGCGCCUGGUAAAGUAAGUGGAAAUUGAGGACUCUCAGCACCUCACAGGAAGCACUCAACACCACACAGAAUUCAGUGUGUCUGUGCAACUCCUUCGACUCUGAUAAUGAAGGCAUCCCAUAGGAAAGGGAAGUAGUCUGUAUGUUUUCCCCUCUGGCUGCCUCCUGCAGGGUGGGUUAGUUUUCACCCCAUUAUUGCUAGGCCCAGAAAAGGCAUUUUCUCUUUGUUUUCUCCC
rnacentral:lncRNA from 1 species